rnacentral:rRNA from 1 species
AUUGAUCGCUGGUGGCAGGCUUAACACAUGCAAGUUGAGCGGAGCGGCGGACGGGCAAGUAAUGCCUAGGAAUCUGCCUGGUAGAGGGGGAUAACGUCCGGCAUCGGGCGCUAAUAUAGCAUACUAUCAGAUGAGCCUCGGUCGGAUUAGCUAGGUGGUGGGGUAAAGGCCUACCAAGACGACGAUCCGUAACUGGUCGGCGAGGAUGAUCAGUCACACUGGAACUUAGACACGGUCCAGCCUCCUACGUGAGGCAGCAGUUGUGCAUAUUAGGCGAAAGGCGAAGGCCUGAUCCAGCCAUGCCGCGUGUGUGAAGAAGGUCUUCGGAUUGUAAAGCGCUUUAAGUUGGGAGGCGUUACCAACAGAAUAAGCACCGGAUAACUUCGUGCCAGCAGCCGCGGUAAUAC